rfam:Parcubacteria bacterium GW2011_GWB1_43_6 TV98_C0012, whole genome shotgun sequence.
GGCCCCAUCGUCUAGUGGCCCAGGACGCUUGGUUCUCAACCAAGAAACACCGGUUCAACUCCGGUUGGGGCCG